ensembl:lncRNA
UUCUCAGUUCAGUAUCACCACUCACUCUAACAGAGCAGCCGUGCACAAAUCCUCAGAUGUCUACACAGUGGGACGAUGUCGCCGAGUCACGUGAAAGUCCCAUUGCAGACUGGGAGACACCGAUCCGACAGGGACCCAGGGAGAGCGCAGACCUCGUGUUAAAUCGGCUCCGUGUAAACAGCACUCCCCACCACGCCCUUUCCUAUCUGCACAGCUUCUAUAAAUUCAACUCUCGCACCUGACACCUAAGAAUACUGCACACCCCCCACGUGAGACCCCCACUUACCUCCCAAAAUGAGCUGGCACGGCCGAGUGCAAACCUUUUCAACAUAAGGGAACUGGAGGGCAUGUGGGGCUUUCUCGAGUCCCUGCUGCCUCCUGAUGGGAAGGCCCAAUGCUUCACACCCCUAGUGAAGGGCAGGUCCCCCUUCAGCCCCCUCAGCCUCAAGAAAGCCCAUGUUCCCUUUCUCGAGACCACACACAACCGAGUCACAAAGCAGGGCGGAACCUCGACUCUCUGGGUUCAGGUCAUGUCGAGUUUAUGACCUGCUGCUGUGGACACUGCAGGAAAUGAUGAGCCUGAUCCUGGCUUUGACCUCGAGCUAAUCAGCAUUAACUAAUUUCACUUUCCAGGACCAACGUCAAAGACCUGCAAAGCCAGAGAAGGGAGAGGAGAUGGAACACGCCCUCACCCCAGACCUGCUGCAAGCACACGCUUCUCAGAUGCGUCCCAACGUGCACAGCGUGUCCGAUGCCCGUUCACAUUCACCGACCCGCAGGUCUUCUACAUGGCAUCAGCCUCCUGGGCACUCUGGGGACAAGAGGUAAAAUGGCAAGUCCCCCCUGCUGCAAAGGCGAGGUACAGGGACCCAGCAGAAUCAAACUGACCUUUUUCUGACAGUCUCAAAACAGAAGGAAAAUACUGCACAGCCAAUGUCCCCUCAACACAGGUUUAUUUACCUGUGACUCACAGGCCAUGACAGAAAACUUCAGGUUCUUAUUGAUUCCUUGUUUUCCCCAUCCAGGAAGCCUUUGUUUUUAAUAUCAUAUGAACUUGCCAUUUUGUAGGCCAAAAACAGCAAAUAUUGGCAGUUUCCUACGGUUCAACUGAAUAAAAUAUGAUCACGACCUUUUGUGAAACCAUGAAGAAAAGGUGGAUAUCUCAAUGGUUCCAGACUGUGGCUUUGUUCCUGAAGCACUAACUCUUUUCACUCAGGAUUUUAGACAAUGAAGAGUGAACAGCAAUAUCCCACCAAGAAAACUAAAAAUGAAAUGAUUUUGCAUCCACCUUGGAGCCUUUUUAGGACAAGGCAGGACACAAACUUUUAAAAAGCUGCAGUUGUACCUCUGUAUACACAGGGACACGGGUUCCAGAACACCCCCUGAGUUUACCCAAAUCUACGUGUCCACGGGACCCACGGCUACCCUGCAGAACUGCAAGUAGGAAACCAUCGGCCCUCCACAAAGCCAGGUUUUUUCAAUAAGUGUUUGGUUGGGGAAAAAAAUUAAUGUAAGUAAUCCUUCGAAGCUCAAAACCCAUGUCUUUAAGGGUCAGUUGCAUUUACUACCUGUGUCAUAUGUGAGGCCUGAAAGCCAUCAUUCUCGAUACCUUAACGUGACGGUAAACAAACUAACUGUUCUGAUUAGAAAGAGGAAGAAAAAGCUUAUUUUUAAGCUGACAGAGUGGACGCUGCUACAGUGAACGGAGAAUCGACGUAAGUCAGCACCAAGGCUGGGGUGACUGACUGUACUCAGACCCAGCAGGGCCUGUGCCUCCGUCUCCCUCUGCUGAAAGGGAUAACCCCUUCUCCCCCACGACUAACGGACCUUUUUAAAAGAGGCACACAAGAAGUGCUAUGAAAAGCUGAAAGGUCACAGAUAACAUUUUAAAAAAUAAACAUUAACGUAAGCAUUUAACAAGCCCAUUGUGAUUAAAAAAAAAAAAAA